ensembl:rRNA 5S_rRNA 5S ribosomal RNA
GCCGGCAGCUAGCUAUCUGCAACUCCCACAAAGUCACCCACUGAAGCUAAGCAGGGCUGCCCCUGCUCAGUACCCGGAUGGGAGACCACAUGGGAAAGCUAGGUUGCAGCUGGAA